UGGGGAAUAUUGGACAAUGGGCGCAAGCCUGAUCCAGCAAUGCCGCGUGUGUGAAGAAGGCCUUCGGGUUGUAAAGCACUUUUAUCAGGAGCGAAACGCUGUCGGCUAAUACCCGGCGGAACUGACGGUACCUGAGGAAUAAGCACCGGCUAACUUCGUGCCAGCAGCCGCGGUAAUACGAAGGGUGCAAGCGUUAAUCGGAAUUACUGGGCGUAAAGCGUGCGUAGGCGGUUUCUUAAGUCUGCUGUGAAAUCCCCGGGCUCAGCCUGGGAAUGGCAGUGGAUACUGGGAGGCUAGAGUGUGUCAGAGGGUGGUGGAAUUCCCGGUGUAGCGGUGAAAUGCGUAGAGAUCGGGAGGAACAUCAGUGGCGAAGGCGGCCACCUGGGACAACACUGACGCUGAGGCACGAAAGCGUGGGGAGCAAACAGGAUUAGAUACCCUGGUAGUCCACGCCCUAAAACGAUGCGAACUGGAUGUUGGUCUCAACUCGGAGAUCAGUGUCGAAGCUAACGCGUUAAGUUCGCCGCCUGGGGAGUACGGUCGCAAGACUGAAACUCAAAUGAAUUGAC
rnacentral:rRNA from 1 species